rnacentral:tRNA from 1 species
GCCCCUGUAGCUCAGCGGACAGAGCGCCGGCCUCCGGAGCCGGAUGCGUGAGUUCGAGUCUCACCAGGGGUACCA